AUUGAACGCUGGCGGCAUGCCUUACACAUGCAAGUCGAACGGUAACGCGGGGCAACCUGGCGACGAGUGGCGAACGGGUGAGUAAUGCAUCGGAACGUGCCCGGUCGUGGGGGAUAACGCAGCGAAAGUUGCGCUAAUACCGCAUAUGAUCUGAGGAUGAAAGCGGGGGACCGUAAGGCCUCGCGCGAUCGGAGCGGCCGAUGUCAGAUUAGGUAGUUGGUGGGGUAAAGGCUCACCAAGCCAACGAUCUGUAGCUGGUCUGAGAGGACGACCAGCCACACUGGGACUGAGACACGGCCCAGACUCCUACGGGAGGCAGCAGUGGGGAAUUUUGGACAAUGGGCGAAAGCCUGAUCCAGCAAUGCCGCGUGCAGGAAGAAGGCCUUCGGGUUGUAAACUGCUUUUGUACGGAGCGAAAAGGUCUCCUCUAAUACAGGGGGCUCAUGACGGUACCGUAAGAAUAAGCACCGGCUAACUACGUGCCAGCCGCCGCGGUAA
rnacentral:rRNA from 1 species